rnacentral:sRNA from 1 species
GAUGCGCUAGGGAUUGAAGCGGUAUCCUUUUAUGUGCUUUUUCUGUACAAAAAAGAUAUAGCGGAAAGCCCGAUCGAGC